AUAAAAAGCGGUAAACUUUACUCAUAUUAUAGGUAAACAGCCAUUACCCAUAUUUGAGUGAAAAUUUGAGGACUUCACAAUUUUAAAUUGUUUCCGUGAUGAGAACAUCAUCUUAGCAACAAAAUAUUUUGUUUCAUUAAUUGAUUGCUGUUCAAAAAGACUUUUAUGAUGAUUAAAAUUAUAGAAAAAGGCACAACAAAAAAACCUCGCCUUAUUUCAAUAACUGCGGAGGACAUAAUUCGGCCGAAUACAAAUCAAAUGCUGAAUAGGAUGUUGCGGGAGAAAGUGCAAAGAGCGUUGGAGGUCAAGUCUAUGGACAUUUCACUCCUGAUCUAAACUUCCUGGAUGACAUUCUUAAAAUAGUGUUAUUUAUUUAUUAUUGUGCUAGUUAGUAAUUAAUAAAAAGUUAUAAUUAUUAAA